ACGGAAGGCAGCAGUGGGGAAUAUUGCACAAUGGGGGAAACCCUGAUGCAGCGACGCCGCGUGAGUGAAGAAGUUAUUCGUAAUGUAAAGCUCUAUCAGCAGGGAAGAAAAUGACGGUACCUGACUAAGAAGCCCCGGCUAACUACGUGCCAGCAGCCGCGGUAAUACGUAGGGGGCAAGCGUUAUCCGGAUUUACUGGGUGUAAAGGGAGCGUAGACGGUCUGGCAAGUCUGGUGUGAAAGGCAGGGGCUCAACUCCUGGACUGCAUUGGAAACUGUCAGUCUUGAGUGCCGGAGAGGUAAGCGGAAUUCCUAGUGUAGCGGUGAAAUGCGUAGAUAUUAGGAGGAACACCAGUGGCGAAGGCGGCUUACUGGACGGUAACUGACGUUGAGGCUCGAAAGCGUGGGGAGCAAACAGGAUUAGAUACCCUGGUA
rnacentral:rRNA from 1 species